rnacentral:tRNA from 1 species
GGCGCGGUAGCCAAGUGGUAAGGCGGCUGUCUGCAAAACAGCAAUACGGCGGUUCGACUCCGCCCCGCGCCU